ACUUCAUCCCCACUUCUGACAUAAAGCUGCUCAGCAUUAACGCCACGAAGUGCUUGGUGAAAAUGUCGCAGACUAGUCUAACUUUCAUGGUUAUUUGUUAAAUCGUUGUGUCCAACGUUACUUCAAGCUACAAGAGAAUAUUCACUAAUCCUGAGAUUUGGAGUAAAUAUAGAGUCCCAUCCAUCAUUUGUUCUUCCUACACCUGUUAAAGUAUA
rnacentral:lncRNA from 1 species